rnacentral:tRNA from 1 species
GCCGCGAUGGUGUAGCUCGGCCAAGCAUCUGGGGCUUUCGCCCCCAAGAAGAGUAGAAAUCUUGGGAUACUCGGGUUCAAAUCCCGAUCGCGGCACCA